rnacentral:rRNA from 1 species
UACGAAGGGUGCAAACGUUGCUCGGAAUUAGUGGGCGUAAAGCGCACGUAGGCGGCUUUGCAAGUCCCAUGUGAAAUCCCACGGCUUAACCGUGGAAGUGCAUGGGAAACUGCAGAGCUUGAGUACUUAAGAGGAUCGCGGAAUUCCCGGUGUAGAGGUGAAAUUCGUAGAUAUCGGGAGGAACACCAGUGGCGAAGGCGGCGAUCUGGGAAGAUACUGACGCUGAGGUGCGAAAGCGUGGGGAGCAAACAGG